rnacentral:lncRNA from 1 species
AUGCACUCUCACACUCAUGCACACACGUACACACAUAAUCACUCACAUGAACACGCACAAAUACAAACAGGCACACUCAGGCAUGCUCACACGUGCACACACUCUCAUGCACUCUCACACUCACACACAGGCACAUGUGAACACACACACACACAUGCACACGCUCACAAUUACACACAGGCACGCUCACACAUGCACACGUGCACACACUCACACACAUGCACACGCUCACAAUUACACACAGGCACGCUCACACAUGCACACACUCACACACAUGCACACGCUCACAAUUACACACAGGCACACUCACACAUGCACACACUCACACACUCACACACAUGCACACGCUCACAAUUACACACAGGCACACUCACACAUGCACACGUGCACACACUCACACACAUGCACACGCUCACAAUUACACACAGGCACGCUCACACAUGCACACACUCACACACACACACACGCUCACAAUUACACACAGGCACACUCACACAUGCACACACUCACACACUCACACACAUGCACACGCUCACAAUUACACACAGGCACGCUCACACAGGCACACGUGCGUGCACACACACACAUGCACACACUCACAAUUACACUCAGGCAUGCUCACACAUGCACACACUCACAUUUACACUCACAAUCACACAGGCACACGUGCGUGCACACACUCACAAUGACUCACAUGCACACACUCACAAUUACACUCAGGCAUGCUCACACAUGCACACACUCACAUUUACACUCACAAUCACACAGGCACACGUGCGUGCACACACUCACAAUGACUCACAUGCACACGCUCACAAUUACACUCAGGCAUGCUCACACAUGCACGCGUGCACACACUGUCAUGCACACAAUCACACACAGGCACACGUGCACACACAUACAAUCACUCACAUGCACACGCUCACAAUUACAGGCACACUCAGGCAUGCUCACACAUGCACAUGUGCACACACUCACAUGCACACUAACAAUCACACACAGGCACACUGA